rnacentral:rRNA from 1 species
UACGUAGGGUGCGAGCGUUGUCCGGAAUUAUUGGGCGUAAAGAGCUCGUAGGCGGCCUGUCGCGUCGGAUGUGAAAGCCCGGGGCUUAACCCCGGGUCUGCAUUCGAUACGGGCAGGCUAGAGUUCGGUAGGGGAGACUGGAAUUCCUGGUGUAGCGGUGAAAUGCGCAGAUAUCAGGAGGAACACCGGUGGCGAAGGCGGGUCUCUGGGCCGAUACUGACGCUGAGGAGCGAAAGCGUGGGGAGCGAACAGG